rnacentral:rRNA from 1 species
AACGAACGCUGGCGGCAUGCCUAACACAUGCAAGUCGAACGAGACCUUCGGGUCUAGUGGCGCACGGGUGUGUAACGCGUGGGAACCUUCCCUUAGGUUCGGAAUAACUCCCCGAAAGGGGUGCUAAUACCGGAUCAUGUCUUCGGACCAAGGAUUUAUCGCCUUUGGAUGGGCCCGCGUUGGAUUAGCUAGUUGGUAGGGUAAUAGCCUACCAAGGCGACGAUCCAUAGCUGGUCUGAGAGGAUGAUCAGCCACACUGGGACUGAGACACGGCCGAGACUCCUACGGGAGGCAGCAGUGGGGAAUAGUGGACAAUGGGCGAAAGGCUGAACCAGCAAUGCCGCGUGAGUGAUGAAGGCCUUAGGGUUGUAAAGCGCUUUUACCCGGGAUGAUAAUGACAGUACCGGGAGAAUAAGCUCCGGCUAACUCCGUG